rnacentral:lncRNA from 1 species
AUGAAUUCUCUUAACGUAACGAGUUUGAACUUCACGGAUAAGACUGGACAUGCUUUUCAAUACUCCUUUCCAAACGAGGACCCGAUGUUCAAAGACUACAAGCCAGUGACCCGCGACCUCAUCCCCUUGCCAAAGGGGGUUUUGUACCUGUUAAUGGCCGCGCUGGUGAUUGUCGCGGUCGCCUAUGCCAUCGUGGGACAUCUGAUCAAAGACCUCGCUAACGAUGUAGUAGACUGUGUGCUUGGCCCUAAUGAAGACGAUGCAGAAAAAGACGACAUUUCGAGCAUCAGACCCACCCGUCUGCCCGCGGCUCUGUCUCUGUCCCAUGCCAACGCCUUCCACGUGUGGGACCAGGACGAUGUGGUGAUCCCCUUACCAUCAGACGACAGCCCCCAGAUGAGCCCCCUGCUGCUGGCUGCCAUCCCCUACAUCCCCUCCUUCUUCCCCACAUCCAACGACAGCCCCUCAGUGCCCAACAGUCCUGGGCCGACAUCUACUAUCCCACGGGACGUCUGAGAAAAAACGGAAGGUAAGAAGGUGAAGCUUGGCCACCUUAUAUGAUUCUUUACUGACAGUGUAUAAUGGGCCAAGACCAAAUAAAACAUACACGGACAAGAGUCGUGCACCAGAAAAAGACUUUGUGCAUGUUCUCUUCAUGCAGAUGUGACUUUGCAAAACAGAUUAUACUGUGCUAACUGAUAUUAUGAAUCUGAUAACAUGACAACACGGUUUAUCCAAUAUAUACAUACAUAUAUAUACACGGUUAACCAUUCGCAUUCCCUGGGAAUCAAACCUAUAACCAUGGCAUCACUAGAACUUCAUUGGAAGCCUCUUCUGUUUUAUUUUACUUUUCCGAAGUUUUUGGACUCUGAAAGGUCACUUGGAAAUACAUACUGUAGGAUGGACUGCUUGAGUCAUAUUACUUUUUCCUGUUGUGUAAGACGAUUUAUGGAAGCUCUGUUAUGAGCACUGUUGAACAUCACUUCAACUCAUCCCCAAAAGGAGGAUUAAUUUGAAAGAACUUGAGCUCAGAAUGACUCUGCAUUAUAUUUUCAGUUGGUAUUAAUGACAUAACAACUCGUGUCUAGACUCUCCAUGCCAGUGCAAAUAAACUCAAAAUUCCUCCUCGGUGUUGGAUGGUCUCAAAGGAGCGUCGGGAGCCAGUCUCUUGGAAAUCAGAGAUGAGCGGGGUGAAGGAUAAAAAGGGAUAUUUGGACAUGGCCCAAAGCAGCAUAAACUCAGCAAAUGCCCUUGAAAGGGUUGGAAAGCUUGUUGGAUGAUUGAUAAUGUUUGAUUCAUCUGAAUUUAAAUGCUGGAUCUAGAUGUCAAGCUCACAUGCAAUCUCUGGAUUCAUCACAGUAAAAUACACUAAAAUCUUUGAAUAUUUUUGUUCGUUUGGAUUUUGGAGACCACAUAAGGGUUGUUCACACAGGACACAUUCUUGCAUUGUUUCAACCAUUUUGGAGUUUGGCAUUGGCAUGGUAACUUGCUUUUUUCCCCCUGCACCUUACGUUAUGAGCAUCCUGUUUUUAAAAUACUAACUAAUAACAAUGUUGAAAAUGAAAAACUUUUAAAGCCAAAAUUGACACUUUAUUGAGAAUAAAUUGACAAUUUAUUACAUAUUGCUGGACUUUUUUGUGCACAAAUCAGGGCAUGUUAUUAAACAGCACAUAAACCUGUUCUAACUUCGAAAUGGUUUAAAAUGGUAAUGCAAUGUUUUUUUUUUUUACAACUUAAGAAAAAGGGCUGUGUAUGAAAAUGUAACCACCCAUAAUGCAAUGGAUUCAAUCAGACUAUCCACGAGCAGGGAUACAAAAAUGCAAAAUAUGAUUUGUGGUUUUAUAUUACUGACAAUAUAGUAAUGCAAAGCUGAUUUAAAAUAGGUGAACUUACCCUGUAAAACAACAAGGGCCAACAUUCAGUUACCAUGAAGUUUCUAGUUUGUAAAGCUUGAUUAGCUGGUUCAGGUGUGUUUAAUUAACACCUCCUGCUUUAAAUGUAUGCAUUUACCAGAAACUUUUAUCCAAAGCAACUUACAUUGCAGUAGAGGAAUAUGUUGCUAGCCAAUAAGUUAACAUUUUAGACUUUAUUUUAGCAAUCUUGCACUAUGAUAUGGAUAUUUUCACCAAAUAUCCCAUUUUUUUGUCACAUGAUGAAUGUCCCUGUAGUGCAACACAAGAACGGGUGCUGUGUGAACGUCCCCAUUUACUUAUAAUGCAAUAUUUUGCUAAACCAGGCUGAUUUGUUUGUUUUUUACAGUCCCUAUUGAUUGACAAGCUAAUGCUGUAAAUAAAGAACUUUGUUAACCCUUAAGUUGUACUUGGAAAAGUAAUUUCGAUAACUAUGUAUAAACAAGUUUAUAGUAUCUCCAUAAAUAAGAGUGAAAAUAUAAAUACCGCAAAACAGGUAAAUACUGCCGUCUUUCGUAUAACAGUGAAUUUCUGAUGUUAAAAUGAGACGUCCAUACAGGUCAUAAGUGAAGCAGCAGCAGCUAACACAAGGCUGUUCUCAGACAGGUUAUUUCUAAAGGAUAGGGGAUUACAUUGACUCGACCAUUUAAGAUGUUACGACAUUUAAGCAAGUAAACAAGAUGUAAUCCUUCACUGUCACAGAGGAUUCCCUCGACCUCUCCUCCCCCAAAGGGCAAUUGGCAGGCCAGCAGAUUUACCAUUCGCCACUGACGGCCCUCUUAAAACAGGAUUGUGUUCAAAUCAUCUAAAUUGUAUAAACUUCAUCAACAUGCUUCUGUCCCAGAUUCAGAGCCUGACAAUCCACCUCGCAUUCUCUCUACAUGUGCUUUUAUGUAAUCUUAUGUGUGCCAACAACACAAGAUGCUGGGAAAUGAUGAGAUUACAAAGACUGAUCAAAAAACAUUGAUAAUCAUAAGAAACGUUCUUGAGCAGCACAUCAGCAUAUGAGAAUGAUUUCUGAAGAAUCAUGUGACACUGAAGACUGGAGAAAUGAUGCUGAAAAUUCAGAUUUGAUCACAAAAGUCAAUUAUAUAUUAAAAUAUAAUAUGCAAAAUUAAAGUUAUUUUAGAUAAUAUUUAAGACAGAGAACAUCUAAAGGAAGAGAAAAAGAAUGUGGACUGAUGGCAGACACAAUCAUAAUUUUGUUACAUCUCUUUCCUUUAAAAACUUACUAAUGAACAUACCAUUUUCAAAGGUUCUAGAUGUGUUAAUUGUUGUUAAUUUAAUAUAUCAACAAAGGUAAUAAAGAAAAGUUUUGAAAACAAGCUGUUUUUGUUAGGAAGAAAUAUCUUUGAAGUCUUUAAAUAAUGUGAAAGUGGGGGGCUUUGAAUAAAAGUUUGUGAACCUCAUGGUGGCAUUGCAUUGUGUAGCCCCGCCCACAGGACACAGUGAAAUCUCAUUGGUCCCUGCUCCCCAUAGCGACACAUUAAACAUCUUUCAGCAUGGGCUAAAAAAUUACUUGUGGCAGUAAUAAAGCUGGAUAAGAAGCUGCACAUUGCACCCGGUGGUCAAACACAGAAACAAUGAAAUCAAAUAGAUUCUCCCGUUUAACCAAGAGGGAGAUUUACUCUGCCUGAACAAAGCUGAGCCCUCUUCACUGGAUUUACACAAAUGACUCAAGACCCUUAUCCAGACCUCUCAAGAGCUGCAUUUACUACAGUACACACCCACAAUGAAGAUCAGUGCACACUGUAAAAAUUACUAAACUAAUAUAUAUAUAUAUUUAUUAGUGGAGUACAUUUUAAGAAAUUCUAUUUCAGUCUAAUUAAAAUUUCCACAUUUAAUUAAACGUUACUCGUUUAAAUUUUUUGGUAAUUAUUUGUGAAAUUUAGCAAUUUGAAAAAGAAAAUUGUUUUAAAGUAACUAACACAAAAUGUUUAUAAAUGUACUGAAAUAUGAAAAUGCAGCCGUGGAAAAUGUCCAGCAAAGGACCCUGGUUUAACUGCAUGCCCUUACAGUAAAUGAACUGUGGCUUCAUAAUAAACAACCAUUGAGUAAGUCAUACUGGAGAUUUGAAACACUUUUAAUUUAGUAUUUCUACAGCUAGAGGACUUUAAUAGUUUCCAUUGCAUUCUGGGCUAUGAGAACAAACUGGGUGGCUGUUCUUUUACAGAGCUGUCAUGGAAAAGGGCAGUGGAAAAUGACAAUAAAUCAAUUAAAAUGAUAAAUAUAUAUGUAUAUGUGUGUGUGUGUGUGUUUGUGUGUGUGCGUGGAGCAGAAACCAAAGACUUAACCUACAUAAAAACAGAAGUGGAGCUUUGAGUGGAGGCCAAUAGGGAUUUCUUUAUCAGGCGGUGAUGUAAUAAGGUCAAUGUCACGCUCCUCAUGCAAAGACACAUGCUUGGGGCUGUUUUUUUUUUUCUAAUUGUAAUGAUAUAUGGUUUAUAAACAUUAUUUUAAACAGUAUGCACUUUUUUCAAAGAUAGUUGUAUUAUUUUAUUACGCUUUGAAUAAAUGUGCAUAAUAUUUUGCUCGAUGCAUCCUCUUUGUGGCCUCAGGAGGAUUUAUUUUUAUUUAUUUUUUUAUCCUUAACU